rnacentral:misc_RNA from 1 species
GAAUACUCCAUAUCCCUAUCAAUACUACCCCCUCAAAAAUAGGCUUGUCCUCAAGCCUGUAUGCCAAACCUAAAACAAGUAAUUCAAGCAAUUGUUGGUGGGAUAACUGAGUAAAACCCUCAAACUGGUGGUGAUGUGAAAUUAAUACUGGAAUUACAGUGAAGAAUGAUUCAUCCAAGUUCAUUUUGGUCUUAAUAAUUGCAAUAAUGUA